rnacentral:piRNA from 1 species
UAGAGAAGCACUCAAAAGCAGCUGCCUCA